GGGUCUGUAGCAAAGCGGAUUUUGCAGCGGUUUCUUAAACCGACAGGCGUGGGUUCGAAUCCCACCGGGCCCA
rnacentral:tRNA from 1 species